rnacentral:tRNA from 1 species
AUGGCUCAGAGGUUAAGAGCACUGGCUGCCCUUCCAGAGGUCCUGGGUUAGAAUCCCAGU